GACUUUAGAGCAACCAACUGUUGCUUUUGUCCUCACGUUCUCUUCAUCUUCUGGUCUACAGAACCCCCAGUGCAGUGGUGGCACUGGUGUUCAAGCAGUGCCUGGCCUCAGUGGCUUUCAGCAAGCACUGCUUUGCUGGGGGAUAUUUUGGAUCAGUGCUAAAAGGUUUCUGAGGUGUGCUGGGGUGUGGGGAAAGAUAUAUGGUGGAGGAAAUGAGGAACAAUGAAAUGGCUAUUCAUUUUUAAUGCUUUAUGUACUCUAAUAUAAUUGGGAGAGUGGUUCACAAGGCUAGGAAAUGGCAUGACUUUUGCCUGAGGGCUCUACCUGGUGUAUAUGAGAUCUGCAAACAGUAGCCAUCUCAAAGUCUUUCAGGAAACCUGCACAAAUUGUUUAUAAUGCAAAAUGUUAGGCAGCCUAAAUACAGGAGAAAGGACCCAAAUGAUCAUGUGUUGCACUGCUUGCUUUUUAACCAACAUUUCUGUACUCCAAGCAGACAUGGUCUCCCCCAACUGCGUUGCCUGACAGCAAUGAGUUUGGUUUAUCAGAUCCUACAAAAUUCAUGUUUGUGCACCAUAAAAAUCAACCAGUUUAGUGGUCCUGAUGGAAUGGACUUAACGUCUGUGUGUCACCUGGUGAAAUAAGAUGACUGUUGGGGUUGGAAGCAUUCCUAGGAGUCAAGACUGGUUUGGCAUUGCUGUGUAUCAGGUAGCCAUGGAAACCUGCUCUCCAGGUAGAUAAGCAGCCAAGUGCCACCACCUGGGUCCAAACACAGGAAGAAGAGCCGAAGAAGUCAACACUGGUGGAGAUCUCUGAGCUGCUUUGGAGAGCUAGAAGGAUGCAGAAUACAAGUGUUGCAUCUGAAAUGAAAUGCUCAGGAAGAUGAAUGAACAGCCCUUGCAAUAAGUACAUACAGAGACUUCUCCAAGAGAUUCUCUUUGCCUUAACCUUGAUUUACUACUGGCCACCCUGUCUUCGUGAAGUGCUGCUUUGCUUUUUGCAUGGUUUGUUCCAACACAUCCUUGCUGCCCAGGCAUUAGGACUGCUCCUGUAUUGCUCAUCCACCUUCCUGCUGGCCCUCACGGAGUGCCCUUACUGUCUAGUUGCCACCGACACAUUUUACAUCAUCAAUAAAGAUUCCUAUUUUGCUGCUUUUUCAGGCAGAAAAACACAUUCACUAUUUCCCAGUAUUUUGGAGGGCUCUUCUACAGAUGGAAAUGAGUACAUUGCUACUCUGACCUCCUGCCUUGUGGAGCCUCUUCAAGCUCCCUAGGAGAAACUGCUCCUUUAGAUGUGAGAUGACAAAUAAUGGACCCUUUGACUUGACUACUUGUAAUCCACUCUUCUGGCUCUUACUCAAGCCACAGUUUGUGCUCAAAAUCUUCAAGUAGAGAUUUGGAAGAGCUGGUUUUGGGGCUGCUGCUGCUGAACUGGUUUGCAGCAGUCACACCAGUCCUUCCAGACUCUGUGAGCGAGAGCCUGGGCUUGGGUGUGAAUCAUAAAGUUAUUAAGGUUGGAAAAGAUCACUAAGAUCAUCUAGUUCAACCAAAAACCCAUCACCACCAUGCCCACUAACACAUGACCCUCGGGGUAUUGACUGCUUAAGUGGCCAUUCUCUGUGCAUAGUUCAUACAUGGGAUGUAGGACAGUGAUUCAGUGUGCUGUAUUUCUAAAUUCAUUUUCUGUGCCAAAUCCCUUUAGACUGCAAGCCAUGUCUUACUGCCCUAUAGCAUGUGAACCAUAAUAAACCCUUCCCUGCCCUUCUCAGGACUGUUCAUAUUCCUUUUGACCCAUGCAGGAUCCCGGUGUAUUUUUGGACCUAUGAUCUUGUCCCAUAAUCUCUGGUCUUUUUCCAUCCUUUCACUGACAGCCAGUCCCCACUUCACAUCUUGAAUUCCAUCUGCCUGGAAAACAAUCAGCAAAUAAACAUUGGAGGAAAUAUCGGGGAAAAAAAAAUAGCCAUGCCUAGCAAUUGGCUUGCUGCCUCCAGGCAGGUGCAGGCUGUGUGUGAACAGCAGCAUUUCACUCAGCAGUGCUUUUGAAAGCAAGAAGCUGACGGCAGUGGGAAAGCUGAGUGAUGUGAUGGGUCUGGGGCCAGGGAAGCAUCAUGUGUGGAUGCCAAGCAGACGGCUGAAUUUUAGACACCGCUAAUUUUAGUUCAGCCUGAUUUGCUUCACUGAGCUCUCCUGGAGCUCUGAGUGCUGUCAUUCAGGUUAAUCAGAAUUCUUUGCAAGACUUAGAGCUGUAGGGUACACGAGAAUCUGAUCUGAGCUUUUUCUUUCUUAAGAUGAGGCUUUCCUAUGUCUUCUGGCCUUACAAUAAAUGCAUGCCAGACCAAUAGAAAAAUCAUGAAUCUGCUCUUCCACGUUGUCUCUCCUCCUCACUAUGAUCUUUAACCUAUUUGCAGGUAAAACAUCACAAAAUAUGUAGCCAAGUGAAUGUUCAAGCACUCAGCUCCCCUCCUUGCCUCUCACUUCCUGUUCUCAUUCAGGGUUAUGGAUCACUGCCUGGCAGCUGCAGAGUGAGCUGGGAGUGAGGUGUGUGCUGCUCCUGCCACAACAGCUCUUACCAGGCGAUCCUUUAUCCCAGGUGACCUGUGCGUAGGUAUGUGGGCUGACAGCAUGGCUGUUUCUGACAGUGCAAUCAUCACCCUUAAACAAAGCCAUGUGUUGGCCCCCAGUUGCAACUGCUGCAGAGAGCUAGGGAUGGAACAGCUUUUCCCAUCUUGUUUAAAUCCUGUAACUUGUUUUUCAGUGUUCAUCUUCAUUGCUCAGCUUUCUAUGUGCUUGCAGUAUUGGUGGUGGGGAGACUGUCUCUGUGAUCAGGUGUGAAAAUGAGAGAAUGGUUAAAACCUGUUUUGAAAAUAGACUCGGACUAACAGAGUUUCAUUUAAUCUCCAGGUUACCACUUGAAAUUCAUUUCGUGCAGGUUGUGAUGAAAGGUGGUUACCUCCAAACAAGUGCUCAGUGCUUCACCUAAUGAAAACUGGCACUUUGCAGCAGGCACGGCAGCAGCUGCUAUGGGAUGGCUGAGACCAUCUGUUCCUCCCUCAGCUGCUGGCCACCAUGGUGGCCCCUUUCCCCAACGAUUGUGAUGGAGGGGAUGGUGGGGCUCAGCACAUGACUGCGGUCGGAUGCAUGACUGGUGCAGCAAGCAAAUGUUGUAGGUAUGCAGUGCUUCUCCUGGCAGGAAGGGCAAAUGAAGUGGUUGUUGUCCUGAGCUGCUUACUUAAUAUAAUCAUAAAGUCAUCUAGCUUGGGAAAAGCCUUCAAGAUCAAUGAGCACAACUAUCAACCUCAUCUACUGAGUAUCAUCACUAAACUAUGAUAGAAUAUUCUGAGUUGGAAGUCACCCACAAGGACUAUCGAAUCCAAUCCCCACAGCUACCUGCAAACCCUGUGUUUGUGAGCAUUGUCCAAACACUCAGGGCCAUGCCCACUGCCCUGGGCAGGCAGUUUCAUGCCCACCAUCCUCUGGCACAGACCCUGUCCCUCACCCCCAGCUGCCCCUCCCCUAACACAGCUCCAUGCCGUUCCCUCAGGCUCUGUCACUGUCACA